rnacentral:rRNA from 1 species
CCCUUAGAUGUUCUGGGCCGCACGCGCGCUACACUGAUGAAUGCAACGAGCUUAUAACCUUGGCCGAAAGGUCUGGGUAAUCUCCAAAUUUCGUCGUGAUGGGGAUAGAUUAUUGCAAUUAUUAAUCUUCAACGAGGAAUGCCUAGUAAGCGCAAGUCAUCAGCUUGCGUUGAUUACGUCCCUGCCCUUUGUACACACCGCCCGUCGCUCCUACCGAUUGAAUGGUCCGGUGAAGCGUUCGGACCGUGGCCUUUGGACGGUUCGCCGUCUGUUGGCUGCGGGAAGUUCGUUAAACCUUAUCAUUUAGAGGAAGGAGAAGUCGUAACA